rnacentral:misc_RNA from 1 species
AAGUCGUAACAAGGUCUCCGUUGGUGAACCAGCGGAGGGAUCAUUAGCGAGUUAAUUACAAACUCCAAACCCAUGUGAACAUACCUCUUGUUGCCUCGGCAGGUCGUGCUAUGUGGUGUUUUGCCAACCUACCCUGGAGUAGCUACCCUAUAGUAGCUACCCUGGAGCUGGGCGGCGACCUACCCUGUAGCACAUAACCAGGCCUGCCGGCGGACCCCUAAACUCUGUUUUAUAACUGUAUCUCUGAGUCUAUUAUACAAAUAAGUUAAAACUUUCAACAACGGAUCUCUUGGUUCUG